rnacentral:tmRNA from 1 species
GGGGGCGUAAAGGUUUCGACGGGGAUCUUGAUGGCGAAUAAGCGAGUAGAGAAUGCGUCAAUCUCUUUAAACGGCGCACACUUUAAAUUUUAAACGACAAUAAUAGUUUAGAAUUGGCUGCUGCUUAAUAGCGGCCCGUCCUGCCGGUGAGUACUGCGGCACCGGUUUGGGCGUCGAUUAGCAGUGAACGUUGCGCAGCAACUCCGGUAGCUGUGUGAUGAAUUUCCGGAUACUAAGGUAUGGAGCGUGCUUGUCCGCGCCUGCCGAGGGAAAGUAAAAGAUAAGCUACACUCGUAGAAAGUUUUCCGGAUGGGUUUUCGGACACGGGUUCGACUCCCGUCGCCUCCACCA